GUAGCAUAAUCAUUAGAGGUUUAAUUGGAAUCUGGUAUGAAGGGUUGGACAAAGAAAAAGCUGUCUUUGGAAUAAAUAUUGAAAUUUACUUUUAAGUGAAAAGGCUUAAAUAAAUCAAGGGGACGAUAAGACCCUAUAAAUCUUUAUAAAUAAUUUAGGUUUAGUUAAUUUAUAAAAAUAAUAAUUGAAUUUAAUUAUUUUAUUUUAUUGGGGUGAUAUGAGUAUAAUUAAUAAUAACUGCUUAAAAAAUAUACUUUUAUAUAAGGAUAAUAAAUAUAUGAUCCUUUUUAAAGAUUAAAAGACUAAGUUACUUUAGGGAUAACAGCGUUAUUUCUUUUGAGAGUUCAUAUCGAAAAAGAAGAUUGCGACCUCGAUGUUGAAUUAAAAUAUCUAUAUAGUGUAGCCGUUAUAAAAGAAGGUCUGUUCGACCUUUAAAAUUUUACAUGAUUUGAGU
rnacentral:rRNA from 1 species